AUUGAACGCUGGCGGCAUGCCUUACACAUGCAAGUCGAACGGCAGCACGGGAGCUUGCUCCUGGUGGCGAGUGGCGAACGGGUGAGUAAUACAUCGGAACGUACCCUGAAGUGGGGGAUAACGUAGCGAAAGUUACGCUAAUACCGCAUAUUCUGUGAGCGGGAAAGAGGGGGAUCGCAAGACCUCUUGCUUUAGGAGCGGCCGAUGUCGGAUUAGCUAGUUGGUGAGGUAAAGGCUCACCAAGGCGACGAUCUGUAGCGGGUCUGAGAGGAUGAUCCGCCACACUGGAACUGAGACACGGUCCAGACUCCUACGGGAGGCAGCAGUGGGGAAUUUUGGACAAUGGGGGCAACCCUGAUCCAGCCAUGCCGCGUGAGUGAAGAAGGCCU
rnacentral:rRNA from 1 species